GGCUUGUUUUCAGUUGCCUGCGGCUGAUUAAUAGGGACUCAGGCAGCUAAAGCAAGUCUG
rnacentral:pre_miRNA from 1 species